rnacentral:lncRNA from 1 species
GGACAGUUUUGCUUUAUGAAUGCUAUUUACCUAGUCCAGCUUUUUCUUCCUCCCCUAAGGUUUUCCAAGGGAACACAAAGAUAGAAAUUUUAUACCAAAUGGAACUGUUGGACAGGAGGUAUUCAAGUGGAUCACCCAAUGAAUACUUGAAGCAUCUACUGCAGAAGACCUCAAUAAUGCAUAAGAACAUCUGGAAGUACGGUAAUUUCAGCUAUCAGAGAUAAGAAUUGACACAAAACAGGUACUUUGCAGGAGCUUUAAAUGCCACUGCUGGAGCACAAGAUUCAGAUGGCACGUGGAGGGAAGAGAGAAAAAUUAGGAGGAUCUUCAUUUCAAGCCCAUUGGAAGGAGUACAGUAGAGGUGCUGAACCUGACACGGAGCUGGCGCUGCGGAGCGGGGUGGGCAGCCGGACACUGUGCAUGGAGCAUCUUGAGCAGUUGGUAACAUUUGGCAGCUUAACAUAGAAAAAAUGACUGCUAGGGAAAUCUCAACUGCCGCUAAUUAGCAGCAAUGAACUGUGGGUAAGGACAGUCCAUUUUAAUGUGAGAAGAAUUUUACAAUAACCACCACACUGAAAGAAAUAGAACGAAAUGCUCCCUAGCUGACCCUUGUGGCAAUCUAAGCUGCAUAUUGCAAUAAUCCUGUAAAUUACUAUGCUUUUUUAUACAGUAACUUGGAGUUAAUUAGUAAUUUAACAUUCCUCUACGCUAUUAAAUGUCUUUCUUGCAUUAUAUUAUGUUGUUUCAUGGUCUUACCUUAACACUAAUGGGGUUUAGUUAUAUUUUCUCAAAACAGUAACAGUAAAAUAAAACCGAG